GACGAACGCUGGCGGCGUGCUUAACACAUGCAAGUCGAACGAAGAGCGAUGGAAGCUUGCUUCUAUCAAUCUUAGUGGCGAACGGGUGAGUAACGCGUAAUCAACCUGCCCUUCAGAGGGGGACAACAGUUGGAAACGACUGCUAAUACCGCAUACGAUCUAAUCUCGGCAUCGAGGAUAGAUGAAGGGUGGCCUCUACAUGUAAGCUAUCACUGAAGGAGGGGAUUGCGUCUGAUUAGCUAGUUGGAGGGGUAACGGCCCACCAAGGCGAUGAUCAGUAGCCGGUCUGAGAGGAUGAACGGCCACAUUGGGACUGAGACACGGCCCAGACUCCUACGGGAGGCAGCAGUGGGGAAUCUUCCGCAAUGGACGAAAGUCUGACGGAGCAACGCCGCGUGAGCGAUGACGGCCUUCGGGUUGUAAAGCUCUGUUAAUCGGGACGAAAGGCCUUCUUGCGAAUAGUGAGAAGGAUUGACGGUACCGGAAGAGAAAGCCACGGCUAACUACGUG
rnacentral:rRNA from 1 species